UAGCCCUGGACACGGUUGGAGGGCCUUAGUUCUGCUUACCAAACCUAGGAACUUGGUAACAGGGAGGAAAACAAAAUGAUCAUCUGGUAACCAGAAUGUUGACCACGAUUUUACAUCCCACACCUAACAGACACAAAAAGGGAUGAAGGCCACAAGGAAACAGACACCUCAGGUCACACAAACUUGGCUGUAAACAACUUUCUCCCUGGGAUCAGCAGGUGCCCUGGGGUGCAGGGGACUCAGCGGUAUGCCACUGUGCUAACAGCAAAAAUGUGGCCUUAAACUGUUUCUUCUUUGUUAGCAAUUAACCUACUUGACCAACCCACAGAGCGGAGGCUUCUCACAGCUCUGUACACUCUACACCCUGAGAGGAAGUCUGCUAGUGAGAUGCAAGACACUUUAAUAAGGAAAAGUCCAGGUGCUAAGAUUAAGAAACAUUGAGCUUUGCUGGAGGUAAAAAUAAGAUGUAAAUCAACUCGAGCACCUAAUUUUCAAAUCUUUGUGAAAAGCACAAUCUUCUUUCCAUUUUAUUGUAUGAAUAAAGAAUGCAAGAGAUUCUGUGUUCUGGGCUUCGCAAACUCAAUAGAAUUCAAGAAUAAAUAAACUCAGGUCUUUCACUGCAAAGAAGAGCUUUGAAAUCUAAUGAGCUUUCAGGAUAUCCGUUCAGAUUUUUAUCUCUAACAAUGCAGUUGACAUGCUUGCCCUUCCUGAGGAGCUCAGAGGCCAACUCCUAACUCACUGGUGGAUAAUUUAAGUGCUUUCAAAGGAGUAAGAGCCCAGAGCCACCAGUGAGAGAAAUAGCAGAGUUUGCAAAGAAUCUGACUUGCUGUAAGACAAUGAGUUCAUAUUUAAAUAAUUGGAGUUUGAGGUGCAGGUGAAUAUAGUUGGCUGGAUCCUAGGUAAGAUAUACUAUAGAGAAGGCUUUAUGAAUUGAUAAUAUCAAAACAAACCUACAGGGAGCCUCCACAGGUGUGCCUUUGUGUCUCAGCUCAAUUAUAGUUCAGUCCUGCCUGAUUCAUCUCCCAGAGAUGCAGCCUCCGAUUAAAGGAGCUUUCAAGUUGGGGGCGGUGGCCCAUUCAGUGAUGUCACUGACAGAUGCAUCUUGUGAGGAUAAAAUGUCACAAAAUUCAUUUCUUUGCUCAUGCUCGCAGAGGCCUUGGUCUGGAAUGUUCCACACCUGAUCUCACUCUGCCAUGGGCUCCUGGACCCUCUGCUGCGUGUCCCUUUGUAUCCUGGUAUUGACACAAACAGAUGCUGGCGUUAUCCAGUCGCCCAGGCACAAAGUAACACAGAUGGGACAAUCGGUAACUUUGAGAUGUGAACCCAUUUCAGGCCACAAUGAUCUUCUCUGGUACAGACAGACCUUGGUACAGACAGACCUUGGUGCAGACUCUGGAAUUGCUUAGUUACUUCCGCAGCCGGACCCUUGUAGAUGACUCAGAGAUGCGCCAGGAUCGAUUCUCAGCAGAGAUGCCUAAUGCAUCAUUCUCCACUCUGAGGAUCGAGCCCACGGAACCCAGGGACUCGGCUCUGUAUCUCUGUGCCAGCACCUUUCCCACAGCGCUGCAGAAUCUCCCCCUCCCUGUGCAGAAACCCUGGUGCUUCCUCUUCUUCCCACACCUCCCAGCAGUCCUGGGCAAAGUCUUUCCUGCUCCCCCCUCACUAUGAUAAUUAAGUGGGUUUGGGGCGUGACCAAAACAGAAGACGGUAGAAUAUUAACAUGAAAAUCAUGUGUAGGGGAUAAUGUAGAAAAUGAGUUUUGGGAAUUUCUCACAAAUUGUCUAAGGAGUCAGGAUUCAUAGGCAUGUAGAUAAAUCUUAAUUACCCACACUGUAGGUUUCUUUGCCUUUCAGCAUUUGCCAUUCCCAUUAGCAAGCUGAGAGCUCCAGAGAAUGGCUGUGUCUUUUGAACUAGUCUGCCCUCUGCAUUUUCUUUUCGCUCUAAUC